rfam:Gossypium raimondii Chr11_contig_48, whole genome shotgun sequence.
GAUAGGAGAAUGAUAAAUCAGAUUUUUCCUUUUGAUUUUUAGCUUUUUUCUCCUGAAAAUUUCAAAUCAAACUAAAAAUGCUAAAAAUCAGGAGAAAAAAAUAUGAUUUGUCAUUCUCUUAUU